rnacentral:lncRNA from 1 species
GAGCAUUAACUCUUCUUCCAUGAUCUUGCAGAGGACAUAUAUUACAAGGACUGUUCUCAACUUACUGAAGAAGUCUAUUCAAUUCACAAAUCUGCUACACUGAAAUUUUCUUCCAUUCCUUGUGUGCUGUGCAGGACUUUAAUCUUGGGAUGAUGAUAUUUUCUCUUCUGCAUGUGUCCAUUUCAAGAUGUGCAAUUAUUGAUUCCAGAUGGUUUUUCUGCAGUUAAAAACAGUAUGACAACUUUUGAAGCAUGAGGAGCUAUUGCUCAUG